AGAGUUUGAUCAUGGCUCAGAAUGAACGUUGGCGGCGUGGAUUAGGCAUGCGAGUCGCGCGAGAAUGUAGCAAUACAGGAAAGCGGCGAAAGGGAGAGGACAACAUGGGAAUCUGCCCGGGGGUCGGGGAUAGCUACGGGAAACUGUAGGUAAUACCCGAUAAUGUUUACGGACCAAAGGUUUACUGCCCCUGGAUGAGCCCAUGCCCCAUUAGCUUGUUGGCGGUGUAAUAGACCACCAAGGCGAUGAUGGGUAGCUGGUGUGAGAGCACGACCAGCCUCACUGGCACUGAGACACUGGCCAGACACCUACGGGUGGCUGCAGUCGAGAAUCUUCGGCAAUGGACGAAAGUCUGACCGAGCGACGCCGCGUGCGGGAUGAAGGCCUUCGGGUUGUAAACCGCUGUCGAGGGGGAUUAAGGGCAACUUGAAUGAACCCUGGAGGAAGGAGAGGCUAAGCUCGUGCCAGCAGCCGCGGUAAGACGAGCUCUCCAAACGUUAUUCGGUAUCACUGGGCUUAAAGAGUUCGUAGGCGGCUUUGUAGGUGGGGUGUGAAAGCCCUCGGCUCAACCGAGGAAUUGCGCCCCAAACCGCAGGGCUUGAGGGAUAUAGGGGUAAGCGGAACAGAUGGUGGAGCGGUGAAAUGCAUUGAUAUCAUCUGGAACACCGGUGGUGAAAGCGGCUUACUGGAUAUUUUCUGACGCUGAGGAACGAAAGCUAGGGUAGCGAACGGGAUUAGAUACCCCGGUAGUCCUAGCCGUAAACGAUGAGCACUAGUCUGAAGGACUCUCACAGUCUUUCGGACGUAGCGAAAGUGUUAAGUGCUCCGCCUGGGGAGUAUGGUCGCAAGGCUGAAACUCAAAGGAAUUGACGGGGGCUCACACAAGCGGUGGAGGAUGUGGCUUAAUUCGAGGCUACGCGAAGAACCUUAUCCGAGUCUUGACAUGCUUAAGAACCUGACUGAAAGGUUGGGGUGCCCGCAAGGGAGCUUUUGCACAGGUGCUGCAUGGCUGUCGUCAGCUCGUGUCGUGAGAUGUUGGGUUAAGUCCCGCAACGAGCGCAACCCUCGUCCUUAGUUGCCAUCAUUCAGUUGGGCACUCUGAGGAAACUGCCGGUGAUAAGCCGGAGGAAGGUGGGGAUGACGUCAAGUCCUCAUGGCCCUUACACGCUGGGCUACACACGUGCUACAAUGGCGGUGACAGUGGGCAGCAACCGGGCGACCGGUAGCUAAUCUCCAAAAACCGUCUCAGUUCGGAUUGUUCUCUGCAACUCGAGAGCAUGAAGGCGGAAUCGCUAGUAAUCGCGGAUCAGCAUGCCGCGGUGAAUACGUUCCCAGGCCUUGUACACACCGCCCGUCACACCAUGGGAUUUGGAUUCACCCGAAGGCAGUGCGCUAACCGCAAGGAGGCAGCUGACCACGGUGGGUUUAGAGACUGGGGUGAAGUCGUAACAAGGUAGCCA
rnacentral:rRNA from 1 species